AUUUAAAUAGUUUAAGUAAAACAUUUCAUUUUCAUUGUAAAAAUAUUAAAAUUUUAAUUUUAAAUA
rnacentral:tRNA from 1 species